GACGAACGCUGGCGGCGUGCCUAAUACAUGCAAGUAGAACGCUGAAGAGAGGAGCUUGCUCUUCUUGGAUGAGUUGCGAACGGGUGAGUAACGCGUAGGUAACCUGCCUUGUAGCGGGGGAUAACUAUUGGAAACGAUAGCUAAUACCGCAUAACAAUGGAUGACACAUGUCAUUUAUUUGAAAGGGGCAAUUGCUCCACUACAAGAUGGACCUGCGUUGUAUUAGCUAGUAGGUGAGGUAAUGGCUCACCUAGGCGACGAUACAUAGCCGACCUGAGAGGGUGAUCGGCCACACUGGGACUGAGACACGGCCCAGACUCCUACGGGAGGCAGCAGUAGGGAAUCUUCGGCAAUGGGGGCAACCCUGACCGAGCAACGCCGCGUGAGUGAAGAAGGUUUUCGGAUCGUAAAGUUCUGUUGUAAGUCAAGAACGGGUGUGAGAGUGGAAAGUUCACACUGUGACGGUAGCUUACCAGAAAGAGACGGCUAACUACGUG
rnacentral:rRNA from 1 species